UACGUAGGGGGCAAGCGUUGUCCGGAUUUAUUGGGCGUAAAGAGCGUGUAGGCGGUUUGGUAGGUCCGCUGUGAAAACUCGAGGCUCAACCUCGAGACGCCGGUGGAAACCAUCAGACUAGAGUCCGGAAGAGGAGAGUGGAAUUCCUGGUGUAGCGGUGAAAUGCGCAGAUAUCAGGAAGAACACCCGUGGCUAAGGCGGCUCUCUAGUACGGUACUAACGCUGAGACGCGAAAGCGUGGGGAGCGAACAGG
rnacentral:rRNA from 1 species